rnacentral:lncRNA from 1 species
UUCAGAGGACUUUCAGGUCUCUUCCAAGAGGUAAUCUCUGUUUUGUUCCCAUUUUUCUCAGGCUGAGUUGGAUUCCCAAAGGGUAUUUUGUCAAGCUGUUGUUUCCUGGGCAGGAUUGCACUCUUUGGGAGAAAAGGUCUGGGAGAGAGAACACAGCGGGGUCCGUGCCCUGAAGUGGGGCAGAGGCCUUCCUCUUGCUGAUGACUGGGCUCCCGUUUGAUCCUGUUUACAAAGCUUUCGAAGAUCGAGAAUAACCCAACUCCCCUGCACUGGCAGUUGGAAGCAGAAGAACAUAAAGAGUUGAGAACUGAAGGUGGGAGACUUGGCAGGUAAGAGGUGUGUUUUGUUCCUUGCCGGGGAGGCGUUUCUGGAGGUGCUGAUGUGAACUGGCAGCG